rnacentral:rRNA from 1 species
GUAGGCAGCGAGCGUUGUUCGGAAUUACUGGGCGUAAAGAGUGUGUAGGCGGCUUCGUAAGUUUGGUGUGAAAUCUCCCGGCUUAACUGGGAGGGUGCGCCGAAGACUGCGAGGCUCGAGUAUGGGAGGGGAAAGCGGAAUUCCUGGUGUAGCGGUGAAAUGCGUAGAUAUCAGGAGGAACACCUGCGGUGUAGACGGCUUUCUGGACCAUCACUGACGCUGAGACACGAAAGCGUGGGUAGCAAACAGGAUUAGAUACCCUGGUAGUCCACGCCCUAAACGAUGCAUACUUGGUGUGAGCCAUUCAGUUGGUUCGUGCCGGAGCUAACGCGUUAAGUAUGCCGCCUGGGGAGUACGGUCGCAAGGCUG